AAAGCAUUUCACCAUUUAUUUUAUUACACUUCUGGAUCCCAGAUGUAAAAACUCUAUGUGACAUUUAGUUCAAACGUUUUUAAUUGGCGAAUUUUCAAUUGGCGACUUUAGUACGGCGAAUUCCAAAUAACCGAGAAACAAUAUAGCAACCAUAGAAAACUAAAUCAGUACUCUCUUUCCUCUGCAGAAUUAAAAGUAAAUAUUAUGUGAUAGAGGAAUUCCUUGUUGAAAGCGUGGGUUUAUGUCUUAUUUUUGAGAUCUAUUAAGAAUUAACAGUCCUUUGCUGAAAUUCGCUGUGUGGCUUGACGGAACUGUAUAUAGUGUAAGACGGAAACUCGCAAAGGUGCGCGAUGCAACUCAUUAAGGCGCCUGAUAAAUCUCACAAAUCUCUAAUUAGGCACUCCACGAAACUCUGCGUAUCAUCUACAGCUAUUGGAUUAGUUAACCGAGCACUUUGGAAAAGAAUAAGAUGACUCUCUGCACGCCUCUGUUUGGAUUGGUAUAUUUAUUUAAAUCGCACUGGAGCUGCACGAUGGACUCUGUAGAUUGAGCUGGAUAAAGAUAAGCACAUUUUUACAUAAUUUGUUAUCCAUUAUUUAUCAUAAUUAAAUGUGAUCUAUUAUUACUAGUUAAUCGGCUUCAUUUUCAAGGUUAUAUUAAUUUUCUUUAAAAAGUCUUAAGUUUCUCUUUUUUCUUAAGAAAAUAAUACAUACAGCAAACAUUAGUAUAACGUAAAAAUUCUAUUUUUCGCCCCUUUUGAGGUAGGAAUUUAUUGUUUACCCAUUCUUAAUCCCUUUGGAAUCGGUGGAAGAGAGAGGCGCGCCCCUCGGCCAAUACGUUCCAACAGAAUAGUUUGUUCACCAGAAGUUUGCUCCGCCUUCAUCACGUGGUAUCCGACGAUACUAUUUCGCUAUUUUGU